rnacentral:rRNA from 1 species
UACGUAGGGGGCAAGCGUUGUCCGGAAUCAUUGGGCGUAAAGCGCGCGUAGGCGGCCCGGUAAGUCCGUUGUAAAAGUCAAAGGCUCAACCUUUGAAAGCCGAUGGAUACUGCCGGGCUAGAAUCCGGAAGAGGCGAGUGGAAUUCCUGGUGUAGCGGUGGAAUGCGCAGAUAUCAGGAGGAACACCAACAGCGAAGGCAGCUCGCUGGGACGGCAUUGACGCUGAGGCGCGAAAGCGUGGGGAGCAAACAGG